rnacentral:rRNA from 1 species
GUUAAAAAGCUCGUAGUUGGAUUUCUGUCGAAGACGUCCGGUCCGCUCUAUGAGCGAGUAUCUGGGUCGGCUUUGGCAUCCUCGUGGGGAACGUCACUGUGCUUCGUUGCAUGGUGCGGCAUUCACGACUUUUACUUUGAGGAAAUUAGAGUGUUCACGGCAGGCACGCGCCUUGAAUACAUUAGCAUGGAAUAAUAAUAUAGGGCUUUGGUUCUAUUUUGUUGGUUUCUAGAACUAAAGUAAUGAUUAAUAGGGAUAAUUGGGGGCAUUUGUACUAUCGAGUCAGAGGUGGAAUUCUUGGAUUUCGAUAUGACAAACUACUGCGAAAGCAUUUGCCAAGGAUGUUUUCAUUGAUCAAGAACGAAAGUAUGGGGAUCGAAGAUGAUUAGAUACCGUCGUAGUCUAUACCAUAAACUAUGCCGACUAGAGAUUGGAGGUCGUUCUCAUUAUGACUCCUUCAGCACCUUAUGAGAAAUCAAAGUCUUUGGGUUCCGGGGGGAGUAUGGUCGCAAGGCUGAAACUUAAAGGAAUUGACGGAAGGGCACCACCAGGAGUGGAGCCUGCGGCUUAAUUUGACUCAACACGGGGAAACUCACCAGGUCCAGACAUAGUAAGGAUUGACAGAUUGAUAGCUCUUUCUGGAUUCUAUGGGUGGUGGUGCAU